rnacentral:rRNA from 1 species
GUCCAGACUCCUACGGGAGGCAGCAGUGGGGAAUAUUGCACAAUGGGGGGAACCCUGAUGCAGCGACGCCGCGUGAGUGAAGAAGUAUUUCGGUAUGUAAAGCUCUAUCAGCAGGGAAGAAAAUGACGGUACCUGACUAAGAAGCCCCGGCUAACUACGUGCCAGCAGCCGCGGUAAUACGUAGGGGGCAAGCGUUAUCCGGAUUUACUGGGUGUAAAGGGAGCGUAGACGGCGCUGCAAGUCCGGAGUGAAAGCCCAUGGCUUAACCAUGGUACUGCUCUGGAAACUGUGGAGCUUGAGUGCGGGAGGGGCAGGCGGAAUUCCUAGUGUAGCGGUGAAAUGCGUAGAUAUUAGGAGGAACACCGGCGGCGAAGGCGGCCUGCUGGACCGUAACUGACGUUGAGGCUCGAAAGCGUGGGGAGCAAACAGGAUUAGAUACCCCAGUA